CAAUCUUUCUUAGCUAGAUCGCCAUUUUUGCUUGCAAUUUUCCUGCUACUUCUCUUCUUUAACUGUUUUCUGUUUUGUUUUUGAGAUUGCCAUUUUCUUCUAGUUUUUUACAACAAUGAAGGAGAGUACCAUGGGAAACCCUUUGCGCCUUCAAUCUGUGAACCAUAUCUCCCUCAUAUGCAGAUCAGUGGAACAAUCAAUGGAUUUCUACCAGAACGUUCUGGGAUUUUACCCCAUCAGGAGGCCUGGCUCUUUAGAUUUUGAUGGGGCAUGGCUAUUCGGCUACGGAAUUGGAAUUCAUUUGCUAGAAGCAGAGAACCCUGAAAAUUUGCCAAAGAAGAAGGAAAUCAAUCCCAAGGAUAAUCAUAUAUCUUUCCAGUGUGAGAGCAUGGAGCCAGUGGAGAAGAAGCUGAAAGAAAUGGAAAUCGAUUAUGUGCGAGCAACUGUAGAGGAAGGUAGAAUCCAAGUGGAUCAACUGUUUUUCCACGACCCUGAUGAUUUCAUGAUCGAGAUAUGCAACUGUGAUUCCCUUAGUAGGUGAGGUGGCAAGAUCAUGUUCUCUUGUGAAUCUUGAGAAGAUGCAGAAUCAGCAGCAGAUACAGAAAAUGCUCCAACAACUUUGAUGGGCUUUGUGUUAUGUGGUGAAGAUCUUGAGAGCAUCCUCAUGAUCACGAGGACUUGUUACAUUUUUUUUUUUAAUGUGGUCGAGUUGUAAAUGUAUCAUUUUGUUCCCUUUGUUUAGUUUUGUAUGUUAUAUAAUAUAAUAAUAAACAAUUUGCCAAAUAGAUCAGUAGCGGCGUAGAGCUUUUGCAACCAUUUGAUUAGAGUGUUUCAUAUAGUGGAGUUUGCUUUGCUGCUCUCUGUUUUUAAUUGUUGAAAGUUCAAUUUAACCGUUGUUAAAAAGAUUUUUUUUA